GGUUAAGCGACCAAGCGUACACGGUGGAUGCCCUGGCAGUCAGAGGCGAUGAAGGACGUGCUAAUCUGCGAAAAGCGCCGGUAAGGUGAUAUGAACCGUUAUAACCGGCGAUGUCCGAAUGGGGAAACCCAGUGUGACUCGUCACACUAUCAUUAACUGAAUCCAUAGGUUAAUGAGGCGAACCGGGGGAACUGAAACAUCUAAGUACCCCGAGGAAAAGAAAUCAACCGAGAUUCCCCCAGUAGCGGCGAGCGAACGGGGAGGAGCCCAGAGCCUGAAUCAGCAUGUGUGUUAGUGGAAGCGUCUGGAAAGGCGCGCGAUACAGGGUGAGAGCCCCGUACACAAAAGCGCAUAUGCUGUGAGCUCGAUGAGUAGGGCGGGACACGUGGUAUCCUGUCUGAAUAUGGGGGGACCAUCCUCCAAGGCUAAAUACUCCUGACUGACCGAUAGUGAACCAGUACCGUGAGGGAAAGGCGAAAAGAACCCCGGCGAGGGGAGUGAAACAGAACCUGAAACCGUGUACGUACAAGCAGUG
rnacentral:rRNA from 1 species